UACGGAGGGUGCAAGCGUUAUCCGGAUUCACUGGGUUUAAAGGGUGCGUAGGCGGGCAGGUAAGUCCGUGGUGAAAUCUCUGAGCUUAACUCAGAAACUGCCGUGGAUACUAUUUGCCUUGAAUAUUGUGGAGGUGAGCGGAAUAUGUCAUGUAGCGGUGAAAUGCUUAGAUAUGACAUAGAACACCAAUUGCGAAGGCAGCUCACUACACAAUCAUUGACGCUGAGGCACGAAAGCGUGGGGAUCAAACAGG
rnacentral:rRNA from 1 species